rnacentral:lncRNA from 1 species
CGAUUUCACCGAAAAAACUUCGGAACGCGUCCAUCAAAAUAAUUCGAACAAGAAGUAUCAAAUUUCUCAGCAAAAUCUAUCAAAUACCUUCAAAAACAUAUCUUCACUCUCUAAAACAUGUUUAACCUAUAUAUAUAUAUUGUAGAGUAGGGCUAGAAUACUUUUACAAGUAUCACCCAAGUGAUACUUGUGUGUUUUUAGCCAUUGGAUCUACUUUUUGAUUACUAAUAGUCCUUGGAUCAAACACUAUUCCACCUACCACCACCUACCACCAUCAUCUCAAACUCACAUCUCUCCAUCCAAGGGCUAAAAAUAUACAAGUAUCACUUGGGUGAUACUUUUACAAGUAUUCUAGCUCUACUCUAUAUUGUAUAUCACAUGAAAAACUCUGAAUAUUGUUUGUC